rnacentral:piRNA from 1 species
UUUUAAUUGGUAGGAAUUGGA